GCAGUGGCAGUUCAGUGAUAGAAUUCUUAACCCUCUAUUCAGGAGACCCUGGUUUGAUUCCUGGCCAAUGCA
rnacentral:tRNA from 1 species